CCUAACAAAGGAUAUUAAAUUUGAAGGAAAGGUUUGCAAGUGGAGCGACAUCGUCGAUGUGUACCAGACCGACUGUGAGCAUGCCGAGGCUCGGCUUCUGCAUAAACUGAACGACACGCAUGUGAUUCCUGAAAAGAUUAAUAAAAUGAAGGUCAAGACUUGCACACGAGUUCUGAGCAAUACCGUGGCGUCCGCCUUAUCGUAUACGUCAAAAUUUUCUCACUACUCGGACGGAAGAAAAGUGAGUGAGACGAUGAAGGACACUUCAAAAGUGGUGUCCUUUUUUGAUGAAUUAUUUGACUCGUGCAACGGAGCCACACUCAAUAGCAAAGAAGCAGGUGGGAAAUCGCUGAAGAAGGCGGUCACAGAGAGCUCGCAGCACCACGAUUUCUGGCGGCAAGCAAUUAAGAAAUUGGAGACCAUAAGAUUUAUUGAUGCUAUACGGGGUGAUGUAUCUGUGCCUUCAAUAAAAAAUUGGAUCGUAACUUUAAAAAGUUAUAUAAGGCUGUGGCAGCUUUUUAAAAACAAAAAUAUAAAAAUAAUGCGGCCAAGGUACUUCAAUUCCGACCCCAUUGAAAAUUUUUUUGAGCAAGUACGGGCGUACAAUUAUCGCAGUAACGACCCAAGUUGCCACAGCUUUAUAAGCACGUUCAAAUCGCUGUUGAUCACCAGGUUCAUUAAAUUUCACUCGGCGGGAUUCAACUGCGAAGAGGAUUCUGGUGCUCUGUUAAUAAAUAUAAAAAAAUUGUUUGAGGCGAAAGAUCAAACACAACCAGAGACCAGUAAUCCUCUUGACAGUUCAAGUAUCGAAUGCGAUAUUGAAAGCGUGCAAGCACAAGUACGCCGUGAGCGCUUGAAUGUACACUCACGGGCAUACACUGCGGGAUGGGUAGUCAGGAAAAUUUUGCAAAAAAAUAAAUGCGAAAACUGUUUCACUGAUCUGACUGCGCCCCAAGAAGGGCCCUGUCACAGUUGGA